rnacentral:misc_RNA from 1 species
GCUGGGCAAGGCUCAUGCCGAAUGUCUUAAAGUAAAAAGUGGAUUGUGCAACGAGUUUCUAAGUGUCUACUACUACUGAAUAGAUAAGAUUUCCCGCUAUAGUCAUUUGACUAUUAUCUAAGUAGGGUGCAAUGUAGAAAAAGCUUCAGACACAAGAAUGGGGCAUCGUGCUCUAGAACAAUUCAUGUCUAAGAGUCAAAGUUUUAUCAUUGAGGCCAUAGUAUCAACGAUGGGAACCACCUGAAAUGACGCGUUUCCAAACCACCUUAAAUGAGGCGUUGACUGAAGACAAUCAUCAGUCAACAAAUGAAG